rnacentral:lncRNA from 1 species
GGACUCUGAAAACAAGAUCAUUUAUGAAGUCUCUGCAAAAAAUAAGUCUAGAUAUUCAGUUUAGAAUGGUGAAUAUUUGAAAAUUUGGCCUGGAACAAGUUGCGAACCAGCUGAAAGCUUAUUAGCAUGCAAUAAACUGAGGACUAAGAAGCAUUAUGCCAGAUGCAUUACGGUGCAUGGUGGUGCUGAAGCCCACCAGUCAGAGACUACCAUGGCAUUAUUCCUGAAAUAACGUCAAGCCACACCAUUAUUUACCACCGGGCUCAGAACACCGCAGAACGUGACUUACGUGAGGGAACUGGGACUUAGUUCCGCCGUCUCCACUCGUCCGCGGUGUCCAGUGAGUUUAUGGGGCUCGAGCC